GCUUAGUGGGUUGGCUGAUCUUGAUGCCGCCGUCUGCAUCUGCACUGCCAUCAAGGCCAACCUCCUUGGAAUCAUCAACAUUGACAUUCCCGUCGACCUUACCCUGCUACUAAACCAUUGUAACAAGACAUAUCCCUCUAGUUUCACCUGCUCGCAAUGAGUUAUGACCAACUAUACCUCCCGAAAACAUACUCAUCAUCAUGUAUGUGAGGCAUACCUAUCUAUGCCAACUCAUUAAUAAAUUUUGUGUUUAAAUUAUAUUUGUUUAGUUUUCAAGUUAUGUUUGUGUGUGUGACAUAAGUGUAUCAUGUUAUCUAAUCCAAGUUAUUGAGAUGGAUCUCGUGUCAUUGAAGAUAUUACCCUACAACAUAUGAGAUCAUUAUAAAUAAUUCAUAAAUUACAUCGUAGUCAAUUGUUUGAACCAUCCAUCUAGAUACGACAUAUUAAUGAUUUUUUAGAACUAUAAAAAUAUCUAUUAUAUCUUGCUCUUACUAGGAACCAUCUGAUGGUAGUCAUUCAUCAUAUGGUUCAACAGAUUUGUUUUGUUCUCAACUAGAUGUGUUCAUUUUGUUCAUGUGGCCUCCAAACCCUGCCAUUAAUUUUCCUAGCGUUAUGCACACACUUGCUUAGCUAUUGGCUACUCUUAGGAUGAGUGGUUGUCCUGUAAGCUGAUCAACCUCUUGUGAGUCCCACUUGUAAGUGAUUAAUUGAACAAUGAUGUGGCCAUGUUGCCGAUGUUGAUAUGCUGCAUGUCAAGAGAAAUAUUAUAGUGGGGAUGGACUAUUUAGGUAUUAUAGAUAUCUUGUGAUUUUCAAAAAAAUCAGAAAAAUCCAUUUUUUCACGAAAUCAAAGAUUCUUUCAUGAUUUUCAAAAAAUGUUGACAUAUUCAAUUUUUUCUUAAAUUCAAAACAUGUUCAAGAUUGAAAAAAUGUUCAUGAUGUUUUUUGUGAAUGUGAAAAAACACAAAAAUAUAAAAUAAAGAGAAGCAAAAUAAAAAAUAGAAGGAAAAAAAUGAAAGAAUAGGAAAAAGUAAAUAAAGAUAAAAUAAUACACAUAAAGUACGAGAGAAAAAGAAAGAAAAAUAGUGGUUCGGGCAGGGUUCCACUCACUCCAAUUCAUAAUAUAGGACGUUAUUGUUGGGGAACGUAGCAAUAAUUCAAAAUUUUCCCACGUAUCACCAAGAUCAAUCUAGGAGAUGCUAGCAAUGAGAGAGAGGGAGUGCAUCUUUAUACCCUUGAAGAUCGCUAAGCGGAAGCGUUCAAGAGAACGGGGUUGAUGGAGUCAUACUCGUCGUGAUCCAAAUCACCGAUGAUCCUAGCGCCGAACGGACGGCACGUCCGCGUUCAACACAUGUCCGGAGCAGCGACGUCUCCUCCUUCUUGAUCCAGCAAGGGGGGAGGAGAGGUUGAUGGAGAUCCAGCAGCACGGCGGCGUGGUGGUCGAAGUAGCGGGAUUCCAACAGGGCUUCGCCAAGCGCUGGGGGAGGAGGGAGAUGUGUCACGGGAGGGAGAGGGAGGCGCCAGGGCUUGGGUAUGGCUGCCCUCCCCUUCCCACAUAUANNNNNNNNNNNNNNNNNNNNNNNNNNNNNNNNNNNNNNNNNNNNNNNNNNNNNNNNNNNNNNNNNNNNNNNNNNNNNNNNNNNNNNNNNNNNNNNNNNNNNNNNNNNNNNNNNNNNNNNNNNNNNNNNNNNNNNNNNNNNNNNNNNNNNNNNNNNNNNNNNNNNNNNNNNNNNNNNNNNNNNNNNNNNNNNNNNNNNNNNNNNNNNNGGCCCUUCCUCCAAGGAAGGGUGCGGCCAGGGAGGAGUCCAUCCUCCCUAAGGCACCUAGGAGGUGCCUUCCCCCUUUAGGACUCUCCCUUUCCCUUAUCUCUUGGCGCAUGGGCCUCUUGGGGCUGGUUCCCUUGGCCCAUAUAGGCCAAGGCGCACACCCCUACAGCCCAUGUGGCCCCCCGGGGCAGGUGGACCCCCUGGUGGACCCCCGGACCCCUUUCGGCACUCCCGGUACAAUACCGAUAAUGCGCGAAACUUUUCCGGCGACCAAAACAAGACUUCCCAUAUAUAAAUCUUUACCUCCGGACCAUUCCGGAACUCCUCGUGACGUCCGGGAUCUCAUCCGGGACUCCGAACAACUUUUGGGUUACCGCAUACUAAUAUCUCUAUAACCCUAGCGUCACCGAACCUUAAGUGUGUAGACCCUACGGGUUCGGGAGACACGUAGACAUGACCGAGACGACUCUCCGGCCAAUAACCAACAGCAGGAUCUGGAUACCCAUGUUGGCUCCCACAUGCUCCUCGAUGAUCUCAUCGGAUGAACCACGAUGUCGAGGAUUCAAUCAACCCCGUAUACAAUUCCCUUUGUCAAUCGGUAUGUUACUUGCCCGAGAUUCGAUCGUCGGUAUCCCAAUACCUCGUUCAAUCUCGUUACCGUCAAGUCUCUUUACUCAUUCCGUAACGCAUGAUCCCAUGGCUAACUCCUUAGUCACAUUGAGCUCAUUAUGAUGAUGCAUUACCGAGUGGGCCCAGAGAUACCUCUCCGUCAUAUGGAGUGACAAAUCCCAGUCUCGAUUCGUGCCAACCCAACAGACACUUUCGGAGAUACCUGUAGUGCACCUUUAUAGCCACCCAGUUACGUUGUGACGUUUGGUACACCCAAAGCAUUCCUACGGUAUCCGGGAGUUGCACAAUCUCAUGGUCUAAGGAAACGAUACUUGACAUUAGAAAAGUUGUUAGCAAACGAACUACACGAUCUUGUGCUAUGCUUAGGAUUGGGUCUUGUCCAUCACAUCAUUCUCCUAAUGAUGUGGUCCCGUUAUCAAUGACAUCCAAUGUCCAUGGUCAGGAAACCAUAACCAUCUAUUGAUCAACGAGCUAGUCAACUAGAGGCUUACUAGGGACAUGUUGUGGUCUAUGUAUUCACACACGUAUUACGGCUUCCAGUUAAUACAAUUAUAGCAUGAACAAUAGACAAUUAUUAUGAACAAGGAAAUACAAUAAUAACCAUUUUAUUAUUGCCUCUAGGGCAUAUUUCCAACAGUCUCCCACUUGCACUAGAGUCAAUAAUCUAGUUCACAUCGCCAUGUGAUUAAUACCCAAGAGUUUACUAGAGUCAAUAAUCUAGUUCACAUCACCAUGUGAUUGUAAUGAAUCCAACACCCAUGGGGUUUGUUCAUAUCUUGCUUGUGAGAGAGGUUAUUAGUCAACGGGUCUGAACCUUUCAGAUCCAUGUGUGUUUUACAAAUCUCUAUGUCAUCUUGUAGAUGCAGCUACCACGCGCUACUUGGAGCUAUUCCAAAUAACUGCUCUACUAUACGAAUCCGGUUUACUACUCAGAGUCAUCCGGAUUAGUGUCAAAGUUUGCAUCGACGUAACCCUUUACGACGAAUUCUUUUACCACCUCCAUAAUCGAGAAAAUUUCUUAGUCCACUAGUUACUAAGGAUAAGUUUGACCGCUGUCAUGUGAUCCAUUCCUGGAUCAGUCUUGUACCCCUUGAUUGACUCAUGGCAAGCACACUUCAGGUGCGGUACACAACAUAGCACACUGUAGAGCCUACGUCUAAAGCAUAGGGGACGACCUUCGUCCUUUCUCUCUCUUCUGCCGUGGUCAGAUCUUGAGUCUCACUGAAUGCUCACACCUUAUAACACAGCCAAGAACUCCUUCUUUGCUGAUCUAUUUUGAACUCCUUCAAAAUCUUGUCACGGUAUGUAUUCAUUUGAAAGUACUAUUAAGCGUUUUUGAUCUAUCCUUAUAGAUCUUGAUGCUCAAUGUUCAAGUAGCUUAAUCCAGGUUUUCCAUUGAAAACACUUUUCAAAUAACCUUGUAUGCUUUCCAGAAAUUCUACAUCAUUUCUGAUCAACAAUAUGUUAACAACAUAUACUCAUCAAAAAUUCUAUAGUGCUCCCACUCACUUCUUUGGAAAUACAAGUUUCUCAUAAACUUUAUAAAAACCCAAAAUCUUUGAUCAUCUCAUCAAAGCGUACAUUCCAAAUCCGAGAUGCUUACUCCAAUCCUUAGAAGGAUUGCUGGAGCUUUGCAUACUUGUUAGCAUCUUUCAGGAUUGACAAAACCUUCUGGUUGUAUCACAUACAACCUUUCCUCAAGAAAAUCAUCGAGGAAACAAUGUUUUGACAUCCUAUCUGCAAGAUUUCAUAAAUAAUGCAGUAACUGCUAAUAUAAUUCCAACAGACUCUUAGCAUCGCUACGAGUGAGAAAAUCUCAUCGUAGUCAACUCCUUGAACUUGUCGGAAAACAUCUUAACGACAAGUCGAGCUUUCUUAAUGGUGACACUUACCAUCAUUUUCCGUCUUCCUUUUAAAAUCCAUCUGCACCCAACAGCCUUACGACCAUCAAGUAGUUCUUCCAAAGUCUACACUUUGUUUUUAUACAUGGACCCUCUCUCGGAUUUUAUGGCCUCGAGCCAUUCGUCGGAAUCUAGGCCCACCAUCGUUUCUCCAUAGCUCGUAGGUUCAUUGUUGUCUAGCAACAUGACUUCCAAGACAGGAUUACGUACCACUCUAAAGUAGCAUGCAUCCUUAUCAUCCUACGAGGUUUGGUAGUGACUUGAUCCGAAGUUUCAUGAUCACUAUCAUAAGCUUCCACUUCAAUUGGUGUAGGUGCCACAGGAACAACUACUUGUGCCCUGCUACACACUAGUUGAAGUGACGGUUCAGUAACCUCGUCAAGUCUCCACCAUCCUCCCACUCAAUUCUUUCGAGAGAAACUUUUCCUCGAGAAAGGACCCGUUUCUAGAAACAAUCACUUUUGCUUCCAGAUCUGAAAUAGGAGGUAUACCCAACUGUUUUGGGUAUUCUAUGAAGAUGCAUUUAUCCGCUUUGGGUUCGAGCUUAUCAGCCUGAAACUUUUUCACAUAAGCGUCGCAGCCCCAAACUUUUAAGAAACGACAGCUUAGGUUUCUCUAAACCAUAGUUCAUACGGUGUCUCUCAACGGAAUUGCGUGGUGCCCUAUUGAAAGUGAAUGCGGUUGUCUCUAAUGCCUAACCCAUAAACUAUAGUUGUAAUUCGAUAAGAGACAUCAUGGUAUGCACCAUAUCCAAUAGGGUGCAGUUAUGAUGUUCGGACACACCAUCACAAUAUGGUGUUCCAGGCGGUAGUCAUGAAACAAUUUCCACAAUUUCUUAAUUGUGUGCCAAACUCGUAACUCAGAUAUUCAUCUCUAUGAUCAUAUCACAGACAUUUUAUCCUCUUGUCACGAUGAUCUUCAACUUCACUCUGAAAUUACUUGAACCUUUCAAUAAUUCAGACUUGUGUUUCAUCAAGUAAAUAUUCUCAGCAUCUACCCAAAUCAUCUGUGAAGUAAGAACAUAACGAUAUCCACUGCGUGCCUCAGCACUCAUUGGACUGCACACAUCAAUGUAUUACUUCCAACAAGUUGCUCUCUUGUUCCAUCUUACUGAAAACAAGGCCUUUCAGUCAUCUUGCCCAUGUGGUAUGAUUUGCAUGUCUCAAGUGAUUCAAAAUCAAGUGAGUCCAAAUGAUCCAUCUGUAUGGACUUUCUUCAUGCAUAUAUACUAAUAGACAUGGUUCGCAUGUCUCAAUCUUUUCAAAAACGAGUGAGUCCAAAGAUCCAUCAACAUGGAGCUUCUUCAUGCGUUUUAUACCAAUAUGACUCAAGUGGCAGUGCCACAAGUAUGUGGUACUAUCAUUACUAUCUUAUAUCUUUUGGCAUGAACAUGUGUAUCACUACGAUCGAGAUUCAAUAAACCAUUCAUUUUAGGUGCAAGACCAUUGAAGGUAUUAUUCAAAUAGACAGAGUAACCAUUAUUCUCCUUUAAUGAAUAACCGUAUUGCGAUAAACAUAAUCCAAUCAUGUCUAUGCUCAACGCAAACACCAAAUAAUAAUUAUUCAGGUUUAACCCCAAUCUCGAUGGUAGAGGGAGCAUGCAAUGCUUGAUCACAUCAACCUUGGAAACACUUCCAACACAUAUCGUCAUCUCACCUUUAGCUAGUCUCCGUUUAUUCCGCAGCUUUUAUUUCGAGUUACUAACACUUAGCAACCGAACUGGUAUCUAAUACCCUGGUGCUACUAGGAGUACUAGUAAAGUACACAUUUAUAUAAUGUAUAUCCAAUAUACUUCUGUCGACCUUGCCAACCUUCUCAUCUACGAAGUAUCUAGGGUAGUUCUGCUUCAGUGACCGUUCCCCUCAUUUCAGAAGCACUUAGUCUCGGGUUUGGGUUCAACCUUGGGUUUCUUCACUAGAGCAGCAACUGAUUUGCCGUUUCAUGAAGUAUCCCUUCUUGCCCUUGCCCUUCUAGAAACUAGUGGUUUUACUAACCAUCAACAAUUGAUGCUCCUUCUUGAUUUCUACUUUCGUGGUGUCAAACAUCGCGAGUUUCUCAAGGAUCAUCAUGUCUAUCCCUGAUAUGUUAUAGUUCAUCACAAAAACUCUAAUAGCUUGGUGGCAGUGACUAUGGAGAACCAUCACUAUCUCAUCUGGAAGAUUAACUCCCACUUGAUUCAAGUGAUUGUAGUACUCAGACAAUCUGAGCACAUGCUCAACGAUUGAGCUUUUCUCCCUUAGUUUGCAGGCUUAAGAAACUUGUCAGAGGUCUCAUACCUCUUGACGUGGGCAUUAGUCUGAAAUCCCAAUUUCAGUCUUUGGAACAUCUCAUAUGUUCUGCGAUGUUUCAAAACCGUCUUUGGUGCCACAAUUUUAAACCGUUAGCAUCACACACUGAACUAUCACGUAGUCAUCAAAACGUGUAUGUCAGAUGUUUCGUAACAUCUACAGACGACGCUCGAGGUUCAGCACACCGAGCGGUGCAUUAAGGACAUAAGCCUUCUGUGCAGCAAUGAGGACAAUCCUCAGUUUACGGACCCAGUCCGCAUAAUUGCUACUAUCAACUUUCAACUAAAUUUUCUCUAGGAACAUAUCUUAGUAGAACUAAAGCGUAAGCUACGACAUAAUUUGCAAAGACCUUUUGACUAUGUUCAUGAUAAUUAAGUUCAUCUAAUUAUUUAAUGAACUCCCACUCAGAUAUACAUCCCUCUAGUCAUCUAAGUGAUACAUGAUCCGAGUCAACUAGGCCGUGUCCGAUCAUCACGUGAGAUGGACUAGUCAUCAUCGAUGAACAUCUCCAUGUUGAUCGUAUCUGCUAUACGACUCAUGUUCGACCUUUCGGUCUUCCGUGUUCCGAGGCCAUGUCUGUACAUGCUAGGCUCGUCAAGUCAACCUAUGUGUUUCGCAUGUGUAAAUCUGGCUUACACCCGUUGUAUGCGAACGUUAGAAUCUAUCACACCCGAUCAUCACGUGGUGCUUCGAAACAAUGAUCCUUCGCAACGGUGCACAGUUAGGGGGAACACAUUCUUGAAAUUUAGAGAGGGAUCAUCUUAUUUAUGCUACCGUCGUUCUAAGAAAAUAAGAUGUAAACAUGACAAACAUCACAUGCAAAUCAUAAAGUGACAUGAUAUGGCCAAUAUCAUCUUGCGCCUUUGAUCUCCAUCUCCGAGGUGCGGCAUGAUCACUUCGUCACCGGCAUGACACCAUGAUCUCCAUCAUCAUGAUCUCCAUCAUCAUGAUCACCAUCAUCGUGUCUUCAUGAAGUUGUCUCGCCAACUAUUACUUCUACUACUAUGGCUAACAGUUAGCAAUAAAGUAAAGUAAUUACAUGGCGUUUUCAUUGACACGCAGGUCAUACAAUAAAUUAAGACAACUCCUAUGGCUCCUGCCGGUUGUCAUACUCAUCGACAUGCAAGUCGUGAUUCCUAUUACAAGAACAUGAUCAAUCUCAUACAUCACAUAUAUAUAAUUCAUCACAUCCUUUUGGCCAUAUCACAUCACAUAGCAUACCCUGCAAAAACAAGUUAAACGUCCUCUAAUUGUUGUUGCAUGUUUUACGUGGCUGCUAUGGGUUUCAAUUAAGAACGUUUCUUACCUACAUAAAAGCCACAACGGUGAUAUGCCAAUUGCUAUUUACCCUUCAUAAGGACCCUCUUCAUCGAAUCCGAUCCGACUAAAGUGGGAGAGACAGACACCCGCUAGCCACCUUAUGCAUCAAGUCCAUGUCAGUCGGUGGAACCUGUCUCACGUAAGUGUACGUGUAAGGUCGGUCCGGGCCGCUUCAUCCCACAAUGCCACCGAAUCAAGAUAAGACUAGUAACGGUAAGCAAAUUGAACAAAUCAUCGCCCACAACUACUUUGUGUUCUACUCGUGCAUAGAAUCUACGCAUAGACCUAGCUCAUGAUGCCACUGUUGGGGAAUGUAGCAAUAAUUCAAAAUUUUCCUACGUAUCACCAAGAUCAAUCUAGGAGAUGCUAGCAACGAGAGAGAGGGAGUGCAUCUUCAUACCCUUGAAGAUCGCUAAGAGGAAGCGUUCAAGAGAACGGGGUUGAUGGAGUCGUACUCGUCGUGAUCCAAAUCACCGAUGAUCCUAGCGUCGAACGGACGGCACCUCCGCGUUCAACACACGUACGGAGCAGCGACGUCUGCUCCUUCUUGAUCUAGCAAGGGGGGAGGAGAGGUUGAUGGAGAUCCAGCAGCACGACGGCGUGGUGGUCAAAGUAGCGGGAUUCCAACAGGGCUUUGCCAAGCGCUGCGGGAGGAGGGAGAUGUGUCACGGGAGGGAGAGGGAGGCGCCAGGGCUUGGGUAUGGCUGCCCUCCCCUUCCCACAUAUAUAUAGGGGCAAGGGAGAGGGGGGGGCGCAGCCUUGGCCCUUCCUCCAAGGAAGGGUGCGGCCAGGGAGGAGUCCAUCCUCCCUAAGGCACCUAGGAGGUGCCUUCCCCCUUUAGGACUCUCCCUUUCCCUUAUCUCUUGGUGCAUGGGCCUCUUGGGGCUGGUUCCCUUGGCCCAUAUAGGCCAAGGCGCACACCCCUACAGCCCAUGUGCCCCCCCGGGGCAGGUGGACCUCCUGGUGGACCCCCGGACCCCUUUCGGCACUCCCGGUACAAUACCGAUAAUGCGCGAAACUUUUCUGGCGACCAAAACAAGACUUCCCAUAUAUAAAUCUUUACCUCCGGACCAUUCCGGAACUCCUCGUGACAUCCGGGAUCUCAUCCGGGACUCCGAACAACUUUCGGGUUACCGCAUACUAAUAUCUCUAUAACCCUAGCGUCACCGAACCUUAAGUGUGUAGACCCUACGGGUUCGAGAGACACGUAGACAUGACCGAGACGACUCUCUGGCCAAUAACCAAAAGCGGGAUCUGGAUACCCAUGUUGGCUCCCACAUGCUCCUCGAUGAUCUCAUCGGAUGAACCACGAUGUUGAGGAUUCAAUCAAUCCCGUAUACAAUUCCCUUUGUCAAUCGGUAUGUUACUUCCCCGAGAUUCGAUCGUCGGUAUCCCAAUACCUCGUUCAAUCUCGUUACCGGCAAGUCUCUUUACUCAUUCCGUAACGCAUGAUCCGUGGCUAACUCCUUAGUCACAUUGAGCUCAUUAUGAUGAUGCAUUACCGAGUGGGUCCAGAGAUACCUCGCCGUCAUACGAAGUGACAAAUCCCAGUCUCGAUUCGUGCCAACCCAACAGACACUUUCGUAGAUACCUGUAGUGCACCUUUAUAGCCACCCAGUUACGUUGUGACGUUUGGUACAUCCAAAGCAUUCCUACGGUAUCCGGGAGUUGCACAAUCUCAUGGUCUAAGGAAACGAUACUUGACAUUAGAGAAGCUCUUAGCAAACGAACUACACGAUCUUGUGCUAUGCUUAGGAUUGGGUCUUGUCCAUCACAUCAUUCUCCUAAUGAUGUGAUCCCGUUAUCAAUGACAUCCAAUGUCCAUGGUCAGGAAACCAUAACCAUCUAUUGAUCAACGAGCUAGUCAACUAGAGGCUUACUAGGGACAUGUUGUGGUCUAUGUAUUCACACACGUAUUACGGUUUCCAGUUAAUACAAUUAUAGCAUGAACAAUAGACAAGUAUUAUGAACAAGGAAAUACAAUAAUAACCAUUUUAUUAUUGCCUCUAGGGCAUAUUUCCAACAGUUAUUACAUCCCAAAAAUGGUGAGUGCAACUAGUUGACGAGAGCUCCUUCGGGAGCCUCGCAACGAUUACUUGCGGGUGGGCUCGCGCGCUCUCAGCCGCCACGUGUCACGCUUUGGACGCUCCCUCCAGAUUUUCUUUUAUUUUCCGUACAUGUUUUCGUCUUUUAAACCCCCUUUUCUUGUUUUUUUUGACUUUUUGGUAUUCCAUCAGUCUUCCUUAGCUUUUGGACCAAAAACAAAAUUCUGAAAAAACAAUCGGGCGAAAAAAACUUUUUUUCUUCCGCAAGAGGCACGGUUUUGCUUCUGCAGAGGCACGGUUGUGCUUUUGUGAGAGGCACGACUAUGCCUUUCGGAAACGGAAAAAAACGUGGUUUCUAUUUUCUUUCCUACCGCGAGAGGCAUGGCUGUCCCUGUCUAAAACGAAAAAAAAAACACUUUUUUGUUUUUUUUCCUUUCGCGAGAGGCACGGUCGAAAACGAAAAAACGCAUUUUAUGUUUUUUUCUUCCGCGAGAGGCACAGUUUUUGCUUCCGCGAGAGGCACGGACGUGUCUUUCAAAAAUAGAAAAAAUGCAUUUUCUUUUUUUUCCUUCUACGGGAGGCACGGUUGUGUUUUCGCGAGAGGCACGGUCGUGUAUUUUGUAAACGAAAAAAUGUGUUUUCUAUUUUUUCUUUCCGCGAGAGGCACGAUUGUUCUUUCGUGAGAGGCACAACCUUGCCUCUCGAAAUCGAAAAAACGUGUUUUCUGUUGUUUUUCCUUCUGCGAGGUCUUUCUUCUGCCAGAGGCACGGCGUGCCUUUCGUAAACUGAAAAAAAGAACGUAUUUUUUGUUUUUCUCCUUCCGCGAGAGGCAUGGUUGUGCUUUGGCGAGAGGCAUGACCGUGCCUCUCGAAAACGAAAAAAACGUGUGUUCUGCUUUUUUUACUUCUCUGAGAGGCAUGGUUUUGGUUCCGCGAGAGGCACGGUUGUGCUUUCGCGAGAGGCAAGGUUGUGCCUUAAACGGCUGUGCCUCUCGCGAAACAUCUAUAACAUCUGCUUCCGGUGUUAUUACCUAUAUAACAUCGGCUUUUGCCUCGAGGGGGUCAUCGGCAAUAUAAUGAUUAAAUCUUUGACCAUUUACCACUCUCAAUUUGGCCCCUCAACGUUGUUGAUCUUGAUGGCUCCAAACGGGUAAACAUCUUCAAUGAUUAAGGGUCCUCCCAUUUAGAAAGAAGCUUACCGAAAAAAUAUCAAAAUGAGGCUUGUUCAAGAGAACUUUAUCACCAAUCUUAAAUUCACGUUUCUGAAUUCCCCUACCAUGAUACAUUCUAACUUUUUAAAACAUAUUAGCAUUCUCAUAAGCUUCAUUCCUUCACUCAUCUAAAGCGCUCAUGUCAAGCAACCUCUUUUCACCAGUAAAUUUAAAAUCAUAGUUGAGUUGCUUAACAACCCAAUAAGCUUUAUGUUCUAACCCAAGAGGUAAAUGUCAAGCUUGACCGUAACCAUUUUAUAUAGUGACAUGCCCAUAGGAUUCUUAUAAGCAAUUCUAUGAGCCUAAAGUGCAUCAUCACGUUUCUUACACCAAUCCUUCAUUGACCUAUUGAUAGUCAAUUGCAAAAAUUAAUUUGAUAUCUCUGUUAGAUAAUUCAAUCUUUCCACUAGACUGGGGAUGAUGUGGUGAUGCUACUCUAUGGUUUACUCAUACUUAGCAAGACCUUUUCUAACAACACCAUGAAUAAAAUCUGAACGAUAAUCGGUCAUAAGAUAUCUAGGACUCCAAACAUCAAAAACAUAACCUCCUUAAGUAUUUUAAUAUAACGUCAUGAUCAAAACUUUUAGUUGAAAUGUCUUCUACCAACUUAGUGACAUUAUCAACAACAACUAGAAUAAGAGUGUAACCAUGUGAGGUUAAAAAAUGUCCCAUAUAAUUAAAGCCUAUCAGUGUACAAAUGUAGGGGCUCUCCUUUUGACCCCUUUACUUGUGCACGGGCAGUCACAGCCGCGCGCGCCGCGGCCGCACAUAGCAGGGCAGAGGAGGGAAGCCGGAGAGAAACCAAAGCACAAGACGAACAAAGCAACGCCAAGACCAGAAGCAUAAAAUAGCAAGGGGGCAAGGUGGACUCCCCCGGCAAGACCCUUGCCGGGGCGGCCUCCGCGGCCCCGGAAAGAGCCUUGCCGGGGCAACUUGCCCAACACCAGCAGAGCGAGCCACCCUUGAGCCCAAGGGUUCCAAACGUCACCAACAGCUACAUUGGACCCAGGGCUCGGGAGGCACCUCUGUGGUGGCAUGCAGAUCUUUAUCAAGAUCAUAGGUACAUGAGAUCAGAUGAGGACCAGAAGAUGACUAUCCUCGGCGGGAUUCUAACCGAGGAAACCCACGAGACCCCCGGCAAGAGCCUUGCCGGGGACGACCGUAGCGCCACGGCAAGACCCUUGCCGGGCCCCCCGGCAAGACCCUUGCCGAGGGCAUCAGCAGGGCCACAGCCAGGCCCGCACCAGCCAAGACUCCACCGCCGUUCCCAAGCAGCUGCUAGCUCAACCAGCUGGGGAGGCACCUGCGUAGCGACGGGCGGCCUCUACACCGACUCAGCAAGCACCUGCCUUGUGUUAUGCGGAUCUUCGUGAAGGCUCCACCACCAUGCCACCUCAGCAGCCUGCCUACCUACAUGGCACCGCACGCUUCGCUAGCCCGGGCGCGUGUCGAUGCGAGGCGGGGCGACGACGGACGGGACGGGCCUUGUUCCCGUCCCCGAUAAAGCUAAUGGACACCUAAGUAGCGCAUUUAAUGCGCUUUGUCCUGUAACGCCGGGCGAUAAGCUCGCGCACUGUAGACCUUUCCACCUCCUAUGUGCCACUGUCGCAACCCCUUUUGCCUAUAAAAGGAGGCCCGAGGCGACGAGGAGAAGGAUUCGGCUCUUUUGGGCAAGUUACACCCCGUAGCUAGCUCAAGAACACAAGAACACUCAAUACAUCCACCAAAGCAGGACUAGGAUAUUACGCAUCUUUGUGGCCCGAACUUGGGUAAACGAUUCGUGUGCCUCAUGUCAGACCUGCUCUUCUCACAACUCCGCGCCCACCAACCGUAGAAGGGAUUCCAGUGAUCCCAUAGGUGUCGUUUUUUCCGACAUCUUUGGCGCGCCAGGUAGGGGGCGCGGUUGUGGAAAUCUGGUCUGAUCGGAGUAGCGGCUCCAUCGUGGCCGUCGUCCCGAGGAGGGAGAUGACCAAGCCUAACGGCGCUGUCUAUAGACGUGGUGGACUCCCGUGCGACCACAGAAAAGCUAAGUCAUGGAGAACUCUAAAUAUUUCCUUUUUAUAUAAGGUUAUUCCCCUCGGAGAUCUCGUCCUUUGAAUGGAAAACCUGCACGCAAUGGGGCCGUUCCGCUAUUGGCAACGCCCUUACUCUGUUUCGAGUCCGCUCAAUAGCUUAAGCGACCGUGUCGAGAAUGGCAUGGUAGCCUUCCGCAAUUGGCAACGCUCUCGGUUCUGACUCGAGUCAAGCUCGAUAGUUCGAGUGGCCGCGUUAAGAGCGGUAAGGUGGUUCGCCUGGCAGCAAGCACACCCGGCAGGCCAUUGGGGAUCCGUCCCCAAGGCGCCACCCUGGGUUUACACGCCGGCAAGCCAACCCGAUUAGCAUAGGGCGAACAUACAAAGGGGGGAUUGAACAGGAAAGUAACAUGCAUAAUAUCAAAAGUACUGCAGGGUUAUAUUACAUCACUUGUUGCCACAGUUCUAACUAAAGAUAAAAAUUGUCUUGGUUGUGAACCUGUAGCAACGAAAAGAAACGGGGUGCCUAGUCCCGGUGCAAGCCCUCUACCCUCUAGAUUCCAUCGAUGCCACUGAUGACGGGCUCGAUAAGCUCCCUGAGCGGCGCGAGGUCCACAUCCUCCGGCAAGCUCUCCAGCGCAGCGUCGAAGUCGAGGUUGGGAUUCCAGUAUGCCACCUUGGUGAGAACCUUGGUCAUGGCACCCCGGCAAAGCCUCCGGGCCUCAUUGGCCAGGAAAGUCGUCCUAGUGGAGCGGAAAUGCUCCACGGCUCCAAGAGCACCCUCGAAGAAUAGGGUCAGCCUGGCGUUGGAGGUCGUGCUGCGAUCCUGGGCGUACCUCACAUUUGGCAUACCCAUGGUGGCCAGCUGCGUGGUGAUCCUGCCGGCGACGUCCUCGAGGCGGCUGAUCCAGCGAUUCUCGCCCUCCACAAAAUCCUUGUGGUUGGCGGCUUCGUUCUUCCGCUGCAGCUUCUCGGCCUCCAGAUCCUUGGCCAGGGUCUCCUCCCGAGCCUUGGCCUCUGAGAGCAUCUCCUCAAGGCCCUCCAGCUUCAGCUUCAGGUCUCUGAUGGAGUCGUUGGCCUUGGAGAGCUGCUCAGCCUUGCCGAGGACUGCGCCCUGCGCCUCCGUCAGGGCACCGUUGAGCGUGUCCUUCUCCUUGGCCAGCUUCUGGGUCUGGUCCUUCAGCCCGUCCCUCUCCACCUCCAUCUCCUUCACCCGGUCGGCGUGAGCCAGAGCCUGGGCAUCGAGUGCCUCCUUGUGCCUCUGCUCUAGCUCCUGGGUCCGCUGCACGACGAGCUUCUCCACCUCCUCAUCCUUGCCGCGGAGCGUUGCAGCAAGCUUCUCCUCAUGCGCGGCAAGGUCCUCCUCUUGGGAGUUCAGCGCGGCCUGGUGCUGGGUUCGAGCGGCCUUGGCUGCAGUGGCCAAGUUCUCGACCGUCUGUUGGGCCUUCUCGAUGUCGUCCCACUUCAUGGUGAGCUCCACCUCGCGCUUGGCCAGCUCGCCCUGGGCGGCCUUCAGCUCCUCGCAAGCCUGGCGGAACCAAGUUUGCGCCUCGGCGACGUGUCCCUUGAGGUCCGCCUCCGCCUCUUCCACCGUUCCCAUCCUGGACUUGGCCUUGUCCAGGCGGGCGCGGUGGAGCGCUUGGAGCUUCCGGAAGCUGGCGCCCAUGGCCUGGAGAAGCCGCUUGAUACGUCUCCAACGUAUCUAUAAUUUAUGAAGUAUUCAUGCUAUUAUAUUAUCCAUCUUGGAUGUUUAUGGGCUUUAUUAAACACUUUUAUAUCACUUUUGGGACUAACCUAUUGACCCAGAGCCCAGUGCCAGUUUCUGUUUUUUCCCUUGUUUCAGUGUUACGAAGAAAAGGAAUAUCAAACGGAGUCGAAACAGAAUGAAACCUUCUGGAGAAGUUAUUUUUGGAAAGAAAGCAACCCGGUAGACUUGGAGUGCACGUCAGGAAAGAAAUGACGGAGGCACGAGGCAGGGGGGCGCGCCCACCCCCCCUGGGCGCCCCCUCCACCCUCGUGGGCCCCUCGUGGCUCCCCUGACGUAUUUCUUCCUCCUAUAUAUACCCAUAUACCCUAAAACGAUCGGGGAACAGAAUAGAUCGGGAGUUCCGCCGCCGCAAGCCUCUGUAGCCACCAAAAACCAAUCGGGACCCUGUUCCGGCAGCCUGCCGGAGGGGGGAUCCCUCACCGGUGGCCAUCUUCAUCAUCCCGGCGCUCUCCAUGACGAGGAGGGAGUAGUUCUCCCUCGGGGUUGAGGGUAUGUACCAGUAGCUAUGUGUUUGAUCUCUCUCUCUCGUGUUCUUGCUUUGGCAUGAUCUUGAUGUAUCGCGAGCUUUGCUAUUAUAGUUGGAUCUUAUGUUUCUUCUCCCCCUCUACUCUCUUGUAAUGGAUUGAGUUUUCCCUUCGAAGUUAUCUAUCGGAUUGAGUCUUUAAUGAUUUGAGAACACUUGAUGUAUGUCUUGCCGUGCAUAUCUGUGGUGACAAUGGGAUAUCACGUGAUUCACUUGAUGUAUGUUUUGGUGACCAACUUGCGGGUUCCGCCCAUGAACCUAUAAAUAGGGGUUGGCACACGUUUUCGUCUUGAUUCUCCGGUAGAAACUUUGGGGUACUCUUUGAAGAACUUUGUGUUGGUUUGAAUAGAUGAAUCUGAGAUUGUGUGAUGCAUAUCGUAUAAUCGUACCCACGGAUACUUGAGGUGACAUUGGAGUAUCUAGGUGACAUUAGGGUUUUGGUUGAUGUGUGUCUUAAGGUGUUAUUUUACUACGAACUCUAGGGCUGUUAGUGACACUUAUAGGAAUAGCCCAAUGGAUUGAUCCGAAAGAAUAACUUUGAGGUGGUUUCGUACCCUACCAUAAUCUCUUCGUUUGUUCUCUGCUAUUAGUGACUUUGGAGUGACUCUUUGUUGCAUGUUGAGGGAUAGUUAUAUGAUCCAGUUAUGUUAUUAUUGUUGAGAGAACUUGCACUAGUGAAAGUAUGAACCAUAGGCCUUGUUUCCUUGCAUUGCAAUACCGUUUACGCUCACUUUUACCACUUGUUACCUUGCUGUUUUUAUAUUUUCAAAUUAAAAAAACCUAUAUCUACCAUCCAUAUUGCACUUGUAUCACCAUCUCUUCGCCGAACUAGUGCACCUAUACAAUUUACCAUUGUAUUGGGUGUGUUGGGGAUACAAGAGACUCUUUGUUAUUUGGUUGCAGGGUUGCUUGAGAGAGACCAUCUUCAUCCUACGCCUCCCACGGAUUGAUAAACCUUAGGUCAUCCACUUGAGGGAAAUUUGCUACUGUCCUACAAACCUCUGCACUUGGAGGCCCAACAACGUCUACAAGAAGAAGGUUGCGUAGUAGACAUCAAGCUCUUUUCUGGUGCCGUUGCCGGGGAGGCUAGGUAAGCGGCACUCACACCCCGUCAACUAAGCUAGUUUCUGGCGCCGUUGCCGGGGAGGUGAGUGCUUGAAGGUAUAUCUUUAGAUCUUGCAAUCGAAUCUUUUAGUUUCUUGUUUUAUCACUAGUUUAGUUUAUAAAAGAAAACUACAAAAAAAUGGAAUUGAGUUUGUCUCAUACGCUUCAUCAUUUUAAUAUCUUUCGUGAGUAUGAUGGAAAGGAAAAUUGUGCCAAAGUACUAGAAGAAGAAUUACAUAGAAUGCUUGGCAUAAAAUAUGUGAAAGAUGGGCAUGAUUUCAAUGUUGUUAGUAUGAAUUCUAUGAAUAUCCAUGAUGCUAAUGAUAUGCAAAGCCACAAGCUUGGGGAUGCUAUGUUUGAUGAAGAUGAUAUUUUUUGUCCCCCAAGUUUUGAUGAGCAAAUUUACUAUGAUGAAAGCAUUCCCCCUAUCUAUGAUGAUUAUUGUGAUGACAUGUAUGCUAUAAAGAAUAGUGAUAACCAUGAAACUUGUCAUCUUGAUCUUAAUUUUCAAUCACAUGAUAGUUAUUUUGUUGAGUUUGCUCCCACUAUUGUUCAUGAGAAGAAUUUUGCUUAUGUGGAGAGUAAUAAAAUUUCUAUGCUUGUAGAUCAUGAAAAGAAUGUUUUAGGUGCUGGUUAUGUUGUUGAAUUCAUUCAUGAUGCUACUGAAAAUUAUUAUGAGGGAGGAACAUAUGCUUGUAGGAAUUGCAAUAAUAUCAAGUUUCCUCUCUAUGUGCUUAAAGUUUUGAAGUUAUGCUUGUUUUGCCUUCCUAUGCUAGUUGAUUAUUGUUCCCAUAAGUUGUUUGCUCACAAAAUCCCUAUGAAUAGGAAGUGGGUUAGACUUAAAUGUGCUUGCCAUGUGUUUCAUGCUGCUCUCUUUUUGUUUCAAUUCUUAUCUUUUAUGUGAGCAUCAUUGAAAUCAUCAUGCCUAGCUAGGGGCGUUAAACAUUAGCGCUUGUUGGGAGGCAACCCAAUUUUAUUUUAGUUUCUUGAUUUUUGGUUCUGUUUAGUAAUAAAUAAUCCAUCUAGCUUCUGUUUAGAUGUGGUUUUGUGUUUUAAAUUAGUGUUUGUGCCAAGUAGAACCUUUGGGAAGACUUGGGUGAAGUCUUUAUGAUCAUGCUGUAAAAAAUAGAAACUUUAGCGCUCACGAGAUUUGCUUCAACUUUUUACUGGAGUGCUAUUUAGUUGAUUAUUUUUGCAAAUGAUUACUAGACAAAUUACUCAGUUCCACCAAUUUAUUUUAGAAUUGUUGAAGUUCCAGAAGUAUACGUUUGAUACAGAUUACUACAGACUGUUCUGUUUUUGACAUAUUCUGUUUUCAUUGUGUUGUUUGCUUAUUUUGAUGAAUCUAUGGCUAGUAAAACAGUUCAUAAACCAUAGAGAAGUUGGAAUAAAGUAGGUUUAACACCAAUACAAUUAAAGAAUGAGUUCAUUACAGUACCUUGAAGUGGUGUUUUGUUUUCUUUCGCUAACGGAGCUCACGAGAUCUUCUGUUAAGUUUUGUGUUGUGAAGUUUUCAAGUUUUGGGUAAAGAUUCGAUGGACUAUGGAAUAAGGAGUGGCAAGAGCCUAAGCUUGGGGAUGCCCAAGGCACCCCAAGGUAAUAUUCAAGGACAACCAAGAGCCUAAGCUUGGGGAUGCCCCGGAAGGCAUCCCCUCUUUCGUCUUCGUUCAUCGGUAACUUUACUUGGAGCUAUAUUUUUAUUCACCACAUGAUAUGUGUUUUGCAUGGAGCGUCAUGUCAUUUUAUUUAGCUUUGCUUGCUGUUUGAAUAAUAUCCCAAGAUAUGAAAUUCAUAAAUGGGAGUAUUUUCCUUGCAUUGCAAUACCAUUUACGCUCACUUUUACCACUUGUUACCUUGCUGUUUUUAUAUUUUCAGAUUACAAAAACCUAUAUCUACCAUCCAUAUUGCACUUGUGUCACCAUCUCUUCGCAGAACUAGUGCACCUAUACAAUUUACCAUUGUAUUGGGUGUGUUGGGGACACAAGAGACUCUUUGUUAUUUGGUUGCAGGGUUGCUUGAGAGAGACCAUCUUCAUCCUACGCCUCCCAUGGAUUGAUAAACCUUAGGUCAUCCACUUGAAGGAAAUUUGCUACUAUCCUACAAACCUCUGCACUUGGAGGCCCAACAACGUCUACAAGAAGAGGGUUGCGUAGUAGACAUCACCGCUCCUCCCGAGAACCAUCGCCACUGGCGCUCGGCUCGUCAACAACCUCGAGCCCGGCGCCGGCAAGCACCUCUUCGUCGAACACCUCUCCCUCGAUGGGCGCCCUGGAGCUCGACGACCCUGGGAGGUGGACGAAAAGGUCGUCGCUCACCCUCAGAUACCUACCGGAACCAGAGGCAGCAGAGGAGGAAGGCUGGUCAUCAACCACCUCCUCCUCGGCAGUGGCCUUGCCGGCCUCUCCGGUAGGCCCCUUGUCAGGCUCCCCGGCAGGCCCCUUGGCGGCGUCCUCAGCAGCGCCCUUGGCGACCUCCUUGGCGGUGAUCUUCUCGGCCUCUGCCUCGGCGGCCUUGGUGACAUCCUCGAUGAUGGUGUCUAUGUCCUCCUGGUCUGCCGACGGGGGAUCUGGAUACCAAUAAGGGGAUGAGGCGAAGCCAAGACCAAGAUCUAGAAAGAACAGAAAAAUAACAUGGACGGAAGGUGAGUGACUUACCCGUGCCGGGCUGGGAAGCAGAGGUCCCCUCCACGCCAACAUUUGGCGCUGAGGCGAAGCCAGCAGCGCCCGGGUUCUCCUUCUCCUCCUCCGUGUGCAUGGGCUCGGUGCUUGGCGCCCUUGCCGGGGACGCCCCUCGGGGCGGCGUGGUCGAUGGGGGUGGCAUGUUGGGGGUAGCCCUCUGUGGCUCCUCCUGCUGCUAUCCUCCUCCUGCAAGCACGGCAAGGUCAGCACCAAGAGAUCGUGCCCCCAACACACGUCGACAAGGGGUGAGUGGUGAACUUAUGCCGGGGGCUUUGCCGGAGGCUGCUGUCCGGGCUGCUCAACACCACCAGCGGUGUACCGGAAGUACCUGCCGGGGCUGGCCGCUCGCCGAAGCCCUGGCCCUCUUCACCCUCUGGGCCAGUGUCUCCGCAUCCCUGCAAAGAAGAAGAACAGAUCAAGACAAGCAGCACAGAUUGAGGGGACGGAGAUGACCAGAAGGAGUAAGAUGCUUACUCAUCCUCCACCUCCUGUUCUGCCGCCUUCCUCUUCCUCCUUGGGCUGUGAUACGUCCAUUUUGCAUCAUGCUUUUAUAUCAAUAUUUAUUGCAUUAUGGGCUGUUAUUACACAUUAUGUCACAAUACUUAUGCCUAUUCUCUCUUAUUUUACAAGGUUUACAUAAGGAGGGAGAAUGCCGGCAGCUGGAAUUCUGGGCUGGAAAAGGAGCAAAUAUUAGAGACCUAUUCUGCACAACUCCAAAAGUCCUGAAACUCCACGAAAGUUAUUUUUGGAAAUAAUAAAAAAUACUGAGCGGAAGAAAUACGUCAGGGGGGCCUCCACCUGUCCACGAGGGUGGGAGGCGCGCCCCCCUGCCUCGUGGGCCCCCUGUUGGCCCUCCGGUGCCCAUCUUCUGCUAUAUGAAGUCUUUCGUCCGAAGAAAAAUCAUAAGCAAGCUUUCGGGACGAGACUCCGCCACCACGAGGCGGAACCUUGGCGGAACCAAUCUAGGGCUCCGGCAGAGCUGUUCUGCCGGGGACACUUCCCUCCAGGAAGGGGAAAUCAUCGCCAUCGUCAUCACCAACGCUCCUCUCAUCGGGAGAGGGCAAUCUCCAUCAACAUCUUCACCAGCACCAUCUCCUCUCAAACCCUAGUUCAUCUCUUCUAUCCAAUUCUUGUCUCCAAGUCUAGGAUUGGUACCUGUAGGUUGCUAGUAGUGUUGAUUACUCCUUGUAGUUGAUGCUAGUUGGUUUAUUUGGUGGAAGAUCGUAUGUUCAGAUCCUUUAUGCAUAUUAAUACUCCUCUGAUUAUGAACAUGAAUAUGCUUUGUGAGUAGUUACGUUUGUUCCUGAGGACAUGGGAGAAGUCUUGCUAUUAGUAGUCAUGUGAAUUUGGUAUUCGUUCGAUAUUUUGAUGAGAUGUAUGUUGUCUAUCCUCUAGUGGUGUUAUGUGAACGUCGACUACAUGACACUUCACCAUUAUUUGGGCCUAGAGGAAGGCAUUGGAAAGUAAUAAGUAGAUGAUGGGUUGCUAGAGUGACAGAAGCUUAAACCCUAGUUUAUGCGUUGCUUCGUAAGGGGCUGAUUUGGAUCCAUCUGUUUCAUGCUAUGGUUAGGUUUACGUUAAUACUUUUGUUGUAGUUGCGGAUGCUUGCAAUAGAGGUUAAUCAUAAGUGGGAUGCCUGUUCAAGUAAGAACAGCACCCAAGCACCGGUCCACCCACAUAUCAAAUUAUCAAAGUACCGAACGCGAAUCAUAUGAACGUGAUGAAAACUAGCUUGACGAUAAUUCCCGUGUGUCCUCGGGAGCGCUUUUCUCUAUAUAAGAGUUUGUCCAGGCUUGUCCUUUGCUACAAAAAGGAUUGGGCCACAUUGCUGCACAUUAUUUACUUUUUUUACUUGUUUCUUGUUACAAAUUAUCCUAUCACAAAACUAUCUGUUACCUAUUAUUUCAGUGCUUGCAGAGAAUACCUUGCUGAAAACUGCAUAUCAUUUCCUUCUGCUCCUCGUUGGGUUCGACACUCUUACUUAUCGAAAGGACAACGAUAGAUCCCCUACUUGUGGGUCAUCAAGACUCUUUUCUGGCGCCGUUGCCGAGGAGUGAAGCGCCUUUGGUAGGUGGAAUUUGGUAAGGAAAAAUUUAUAUAGUGUGCUGAAAUUUACUGUCACUUGUUACUAUGGAAAGUAAUCCUCUGAGGGGCUUGUUCGGGGUAUGUUCACCCCGACCAGUAGAGAAAAGAGUUGCUCCUCAACCUACUGAAGAUGAAAAUGUUUACUUUGAAAUUCCUUCGGGUAUGUUAGAAAAACUGCUAGCUAAUCCUUUUGCAGGAGAUGGAACAAAGCAUCCUGAUGAGCACCUAAUAUAUGUGGAUGAAGUUUGUGGAUUAUUUAAGCUUGCAGGUGUGCCCGGUGAUGUUAUUAAGAAGAAGGUCUUCCCUUUAUCUUUGAAGGGAGAUGCAUUGACAUGGUAUAGGCUAUGUGAUGAUACGGGGUCAUGGAACUACAAACGAUUGAAAUUGGAAUUUCAUCAGAAGUUUUAUCCUAUGCAUCUUGUUCAUCGUGAUCGCAAUUAUAUAUAUAAUUUUUGGCCUCGCGAAAAGAUAAAGCAUCGCUCAAGCUUGGGGAGGCUUAAAUCAGUGUUAUAUUCAUGCCCCAAUCAUGAGCUCCCAAGAUAAAUAAUUAUUCAAAGUUUUUAUGCUCGGCUUUCUGAUAACAAUCGCACCAUGCUCGAUACUUCUUGUGCUGGCUCUUUUAUGAUGAAGACUAUUGAAUUCAAAUGGGAUUUAUUGGAAAGAAUUAAACGCAACUCUGAAGAUUGGGAUCUCGACGAAGGUAAGGAGUCAGGUAUGACACCUAAGUUUGAUUGUGUUAAAUCUUCUAUGGAUACCGAUGUUUUCCGUAAGUUUAGCACUAAAUAUGGACUUGACUCUGAGAUAGUAGCUUCUUUCUGUGAAUCUUUUGCUACUUAUGUUGAUCUCCCUAAGGAGAAGUGGUUUAAAUAUCAUCCUCCCAUAGAAGUAAAAGUAGCUGCACCUAUUAAAGUUGAAGAAAAGACUAUCACUUAUAAUGAUCCUAUUGUUCCUACUUCUUAUGUUGAGAAACCACCUUUCCCUGUUAGGAUAAAGGAUCAUGCUAAAGCUUCAACUGUGGUCCGUAAAAGCAAUAUUAGAACUUAUACACCUCCUGAGCAAAUUAAAGUUGAACCUAAUAUUGCUAUUGUUAAAGAUCUCUUGUCUGAUAAUAUUGAUGGGCAUGUUAUUCAUUUCCAUGAUGAAACUGCUAGAAUUGCCAAACCUUGUGCUAAAGAUAAACAUAGACUUGUGGUAGGCAUGCCUGUUAUUUCUGUUAAAAUAGGAGAUCAUUGUUAUCAUGGCUUAUGUGAUAUGGGUGCUAGUGCUAGUGCAAUACCCAUUGACUUAUACAGAGAAAUUAAGCAUGAUAUUGCACCUACUGAGUUAGAAGAUAUUGAUGUCACAAUUAAACUUGCCAAUAGAGAUACUAUAUCACCAAAGGGAAUUGUUAGAGAUGUUGAAGUCUUUUGUGGGAAAACUAAAUAUCCUGCUGAUUUUCUUGUUCUUGGUUCCCCACCAGAUAGCUCUUGUCCUAUUAUAUUUGGUAGACCCUUCUUGAACACAGUUAAUGCUAGGAUAGACUGCGAAAAGGAUGUCGUUACUAUUGGUCUAGGUGAUAUGUCUCAUGAGUUCAACUUUUCUAAAUUUCUCAAUUCGAUGGAAUUGUUUGAUCUUAAAGGGGAUCUUCUAUAAUUUCGCACAUAAGGGGUUAUUUCUUGGUUUCGUCCAGUCAUUAAUAACUUGAUUAUUUUUAGACGUAGACAACACCGUGAAGAGGAAUUGCCUAGUAAGGAUGAAAUAAUUGGUCUUGCUUCUAUUGCCGUACCUCCUACUGAUCCUUUAGAACAAUAUUUGCUAGAUCAUGAAAAUGAUAUGUUUAUGAAUGAAAGAAGGGAAAUAAAUGAAGUAUUCUUUAAACAGGAACCCAUCCUGAAACACAAUUUGCCUGUUGAAAUACUAGGGGAUCCUCCUCCACCCAAGGGUGAUCCCGUCUUUGAGCUCAAACCGUUACCUGAUACUCUUAAAUAUGCUUAUCUUGAUGAGAAAAAGAUAUAUCCUGUUAUUAGUGAUAACCUUUCAGAGCAUGAAGAAGAGAGAUUAUUGAAAACUCUGAUGAAGCACCGAGCUGCUAUUGGAUAUACUCUUGAUGAUCUUAAGGGCAUUAGUCCCACUCUAUGUCAACACAAAAUAAAUUUGGAGAAAGAUGCCAAACCAGUUCGUGAUCAUCAACGACGGCUGAAUCCUAAAAUGAAAGAAGUGGUAAGAAAGGAAAUACUAAAGCUUCUUGAGGCAGGUAUUAUUUAUCCCGUUGCUGAUAGUCAGUGGGUAAGUCCUGUCCAUUGUGUCCCUAAGAAGGGAGGUAUUAUCGUAGUUCCUAAUGAUAAAGAUGAAUUUAUUCCGCAAAGAAUUAUUACAGGUUAUAGGAUGGUAAUUGAUUUCCGCAAAUUAAAUAAAGCUACUAAAAAGGAUCAUUACCCCUUACCUUUUAUCGAUCAAAUGCUAGAAAGAUUAUCCAAACAUACACAUUUUUUCUUUCUAAAUGGUUAUUCUGGUUUCUCUCAAAUACCUGUGUCAGCCGAUGAUUAAUCAAAGACCACUUUUACUUACCCUUUCGGUACUUUUGCUUAUAGACGUAUGCCUUUUGGUUUAUGUAAUGCACCUGCUACCUUUCAAAGAUGCAUGAUGGCUAUAUUCUCUGACUUUUGUGAAAAGAUUUGUGAGGUUUUCAUGGACGAUUUUUCCGUCUAUGGAUCCUCUUUUGAUGAUUGCUUGAGCAACCUGAGUUUUGCAGAGAUGUGAAGAAACUAAUCUUGUCUUGAAUUGGGAAAAGUGCCACUUUAUGGUUAAUGAAGGUAUUGUGUUGGGGCAUAAAGUUUCUGAAAUGGGUAUUGAGGUUGAUAAAGCCAAGGUUGAUGCUAUUGAACAGAUGCCAUGUCCCAAGGAUAUCAAAGGUAUAAGAAGUUUCCUUGGUCACGCCGGUUUUUAUAGGAGGUUCAUUAAGGACUUCUCAAAAAUUUCUCGGCCUCUGACGAAUUUAUUACAAAAAGAUAUACCAUUUGUCUUUGAUGAUGAUUGUGUAGAAGCAUUUGAAAUACUUAAGAAAGCAUUGAUCUCUGCACCUAUCGUUCAGCCACCUGAUUGGAAUUUACCCUUUGAAAUCAUGUGUGAUGCUAGUGAUUAUGCUGUAGGUGCUGUUCUAGGGCAAAGUGUUGAGAAGAAAUUAAAUGUUAUUCAAUAUGCUAGUAAAACUCUAGACAAUGCACAGAGAAAUUAUGCUACUACUGAGAAAGAAUUCUUAGCAGUCGUAUUUGCUUGUGAUAAGUUUAGACCUUAUAUUGUUGAUUCUAAAGUAACUAUUCACACGGAUCAUGCUGCUAUUAAAUAUCUUAUGGAAAAGAAAGAUGCUAAACCUAGACUUAUUAGAUGGGUUCUCCUGCUACAAGAAUUUGAUUUGCAUAUUGUUGAUAGAAAAGGAGCUGAGAACCCCGUUGCAGACAACUUGUCUAGGUUAGAAAAUGUUCUUGAUGACCCACUACCUAUUGAUGAUAGCUUUCCGGAUGAACAAUUAAAUGUCAUAAAUGCUUCUCGUACUACUCCAUGGUAUGCUGAUUAUGCUAAUUAUAUUGUUGCUAAAUUCAUACCACCUAGUUUCACAUACCAGCAAAAUAAAAAGUUUUUCUAUGAUUUGAGACAUUACUUUUGGGAUGACCCACAUCUUUAUAAAGAAGGAGUAGAUAGUGUUAUUAGACGUUGUGUACCUGAGCAUGAACAGGAACAGAUCCUACGCAAGUGUCACUCCGAGGCUUACGGAGGACACCACGCUGGAGAUAGAACUGCACAUAAGGUAUUGCAAUCCAGUUUUUAUUGGCCUACUCUCUUCAAGGAUGCCCGUAAGUUUGUCUUAUCUUGUGAUGAAUGUCAAAGAAUUGGUAAUAUUAGUAGACGUCAAGAAAUGCCUAUGAACUAUUCACUUGUUAUUGAACCAUUUGAUGUUUGGGGCUUUGAUUAUAUGGGACCUUUUCCUGCCUCUAAUGGUUACACACAUAUUUUAGUUGCUGUUGAUUACGUUACUAAGUGGGUAGAAGCUAUUCCAACUAGUAGUGCUGAUCAUAACACUUCUAUUAAAAUGCUUAAAGAAGUUAUUUUUCCGAGUUUUGGAGUCCCUAGAUAUUUAAUGACUGAUGGUGGUUCACAUUUUAUUCAUGGUGUUUUCCGUAAAAUGCUUGCUAAGUAUGAUGCUAAUCAUAGAAUUGCAUCUCCUUAUCACCCGCAGUCUAGUGGUCAAGUAGAAUUGAGUAAUAGAGAGCUCAAAUUGAUUUUGCAAAAGACUGUUAAUAGAUCUAGAAAGAAUUGGUCCAAGAAACUUGAUGAUGCAUUAUGGGCCUAUAGAGCUGCAUAUAAAAAUCCUAUGGGUAUGUCUCCGUAUAAAAUGGUUUAUGGAAAAGCAUGUCACUUACCUCUCGAACUAGAACAUAAGGCAUAUUGGGCUAUUAAAGAGCUCAAUUAUGAUUUCAAACUUGCCGGUGAGAAGAGGUUAUUUGAUAUUAGCUCACUUGAUGAAUGGAGAACCCAAGCUUAUGAGAAUGCCAAAUUGUUUAAAGAAAAGGUUAAAAGAUGGUAUGACAAAAGAAUACAAAAGCGUGAGUUUAAUGUAGGUGAUUAUGUAUUACUAUACAACUCUCGUUUAAUAUUUUUUGCAGGAAAACUUCUCUCUAAAUGGGAAGGCCCUUACGUUAUCGAGGAGGCCUAUCGUUCCGGUGCCAUAAAAAUCAACAACUUCGAAGGCACAAAUCCGAAGGUGGUGAGCGGUCAAAGAAUCAAACAUUAUAUCUUAGGUAAUCCCAUAAAUGUUGAAACCAAUGUUAUUGAAACCGUAACCCCGGAGGAAUACAUAAGGGACACUUUCCGGAACGUUUCAGACUCCGAAAAGGAAUAGGUAUGUGGUACGGUAAGUAAACUGACUCCAAAACAAUUCUAAUGGUAAUAUUUCUCCGUUUUGGAAUAUUUAGAAAAAUAGAAAAAUAAGAAGUUGUCCGGGAAGGACACGAGGCCUCCACGAGGGUGGAGGGCGCGCCCUACUCCUCUGGGCGCGCCCCCUACCUCGUGGGCACCUCGUGUGCUCUCCGGACUCCGUUUUCUUGCACGAUAGGUAUUUUGGUCGGUAAAAAUUCAUUAUAUAAUCUCCCGAAGGUUUUGACUCCUGUAUUACGCAAAUAUCCUCUAUUUUCAUUUCGAGCUGUUUUUCUGACAGAUCUAGAUCAUCAUGACGUCUCCAAGCGCCCCCAAGGACAAGUUCUUCGAGAAGGUCAUCAACCCUUACCUCGCGGAGGUGCUGCGACACCCUCAAACUAUUGAGAUGUGUGAUGGGUUGCUGCACAUCCACGAUGUUGAGGGGCCAAAGGGGGCCGGAAGUGUGGAGACAAGGCUCGAAGCCAUGGAGCAACAAGUUUUCAAGUGCCAGGGGAUGGUGGAACGUGGACUCAACUCCAACCACAUGAUGAUCACGGAGUUCACCAACAGCCACAAGCUGGAUGCCCAGAACAUUGGGGAUACCAUCUUCAAGCUUCACGAGAAGAUCGAGCACCUCCAAGCCCAAAUCUAUGACCUGCAAAACCAAAACUGUGAGUAUGAAUAUAGAUUCAAGAGGAUGAGUUUGGCUGCAGAUUUGAGGAUUCCGGAGACUCGAUCAUCCUUCUAUGAUGGUGAGCCUAUGCCUUGGAAGAUGGACGAUAAGCCUACAUCAUCAACAAUCCCUUCACCAACAAAGGAGACAUAAUCACAUGGGUAUGGGCACUCCCCUUGGCAACUUCCAAGCUUGGGGGAGGUGCCCCGGUAUCGUAUCACAACCACAUCUCCUUUCUUUACCGUUUUUCUUAGUUCGAUCCUUUUAGUAGUAUCUCGAUCUAGUAGAAUAAAGUUUUGGUAUGAUCUAGUUUUGAGUUUUGCUUUAUGAUCCCUCUUUGUAAUCGAGUCCAUGAGCUAUAUAACAAAGAUUAGUGUUGAGUCAAGGGCUUGAUUAUUUUGCCUUGAUCUUGAGUGAAUAAAAGAAUAAAAAGAAAUAAAGAGAUCAUAUUGAUCUUAUUGAUCUUAUUGAGAGUAAUGACUUCACAUAGAAAGAGUAUGAUGAUUAAAAAUUGUUGAGAGAUGACAAACAUAGCUUUGGUCAUCGUUGCAAUUAAUAGGAAGUAAUAAAGAAAGAGAGGUUUCACAUAUAAAUAUACUAUCUUGGACAUCUUUUAUGAUUGUGAGCACUCAUUAAAAUAUGACAUGCUAAAGAGUUGAUGUUGGACAAGGAAGACAACGUAAUGGGUUAUGUUUUCUUAUAUCUGAGAUAAAGUAUAUUGUCAUAGAUCAUCCAACAUGUUGAGCUUGCCUUUCCCCCUCAUGCUAGCCAAAUUCUUUGCACCAAGUAGAGAUACUACUUGUGCUUCCAAAAACCCUUAAACCAGUUUUGCCAGGAGAGUCCACCAUAUCUACCUAUGGAUUGAGUAAGAUCCUUCAAGUAAGUUGUCAUCGGUGCAAGCAAUAAAAAUUUCUCUCUAAAUAUGUAUGAUUGAUUGGUGUGGAGGAAAUAAGAUUUAUACGAUCUUGUGAUGUGGAAGAAAUAAAAGCGACGGACUGCAUAAUAAAGGUUCAUAUCACAAGUCGCAAUAUAAAGUGACGUUCUUUCGCAUUAAGAUUUUGUGCAUCCAACCCUGAAAGCGCAUGGCAACCUCUGCUUCCCUCUGCGAAGGGCCUAUCUUUUAUUAUUAUCUUCUACCUUAUGCAAGAGUCAUGGUGAUCUUCACCUUUCCUUUUUAUAUUUUAUCCUUUGGCAAGCACAGGAUGUUGGAAAGAUCCUGAUAUAUAUAUAUAUAUAUAUAUAUAUAUAUAUAUAUAAAAUUGGAUGUGGGUUAGCAUGAAUUAUUAUUGUUGACAUUACCCUUGAGGUAAAAGGUUGGGAGGCAAAACUAUAAGCCCCUAUCUCUGGUUAAAACUCCGUAACCACAAGUAUUGCGUGAGUGUUAGCAAUUAUGAAAGACUAAAUGAUAGUUGAGUAUGUGGACUUGCUAGAAAGCUUUGACAUAGACUCUUUUCUGAUGUUAUGAUAAAUUGCAAUUGCUUCAAUGACUGAGAUUAUAGUUUGUUAGUUCUCAAUAAAGUUUCUGAUUCAUACUUUGCAUUGUGAAUAGAUUAUUACUUGAGCAUAAGAAAUCAUAUGACAAUAUCCAUAUAUGUUGCUGUUAUGAGAAUAAUCAUGAUGCCUUCAUGUCCGUAUUUUAUUUUAUCGACACUUCUACCUGUAAACAUGUGGACAUAUUUAUCGUUAUCGGCUUUCGCUUGAGGACAAGCGAGGUCUAAGCUUGGGGGAGUUGAUGCGUCCAUUUUGCAUCAUGCUUUUAUAUCAAUAUUUAUUGCAUUAUGGGCUGUUAUUACACAUUAUGUCACAAUACUUAUGCCUAUUCUCUCUUAUUUUACAAGGUUUACAUAAGGAGGGAGAAUGCCGGCAGCUGGAAUUCUGGGCUGGAAAAGGAGCAAAUAUUAGAGACCUAUUCUGCACAACUCCAAAAGUCCUGAAACUCCACGAAAGUUAUUUUUGGAAAUAAUAAAAAAUACUGAGCAGAAGAAAUACGUCAGGGGGGCCUCCACCUGUCCAUGAGGGUGGGGGCGCGCCCUACCCCCCUGGGCGCGCCCCCUGCCUCGUGGCCCCCCUGUUGGCCCUUCGGUGCCCAUCUUCUGCUGUAUGAAGUCUUUCGUCCGAAGAAAAAUCAUAAGCAAGCUUUCGGGACGAGACUCCGCCGCCACGAGGCGGAACCUUGGCGGAACCAAUCUAGGGCUCCGGAAGAGCUGUUCUGCCGGGGACACUUCCCUCCGGGAGAGGGAAAUCAUCGCCAUCGUCAUCACCAACGCUCCUCUCAUCGGGAGAGGGCAAUCUCCAUCAACAUCUUCACCAGCACCAUCUCCUCUCAAACCCUAGUUCAUCUCUUCUAUCCAAUUCUUGUCUCCAAGUCUAGGAUUGGUACCUGUAGGUUGCUAGUAGUGUUGAUUACUCCUUGUAGUUGAUGCUAGUUGGUUUAUUUGGUGGAAGAUCGUAUGUUCAGAUCCUUUAUGCAUAUUAAUACUCCUCUGAUUAUGAACAUGAAUAUGCUUUGUGAGUAGUUACGUUUGUUCCUGAGGACAUGGGAGAAGUCUUGCUAUUAGUAGUCAUGUGAAUUUGGUAUUCGUUCGAUAUUUUGAUGAGAUGUAUGUUGUCUAUCCUCUAGUGGUGUUAUGUGAACGUCGACUACAUGACACUUCACCAUUAUUUGGGCCUAGAGGAAGGCAUUAGAAAGUAAUAAGUAGAUGAUGGGUUGCUAGAGUGACAGAAGCUUAAACCCUAGUUUAUGCGUUGCUUCGUAAGGGGCUGAUUUGGAUCCAUCUGUUUCAUGCUAUGGUUAGGUUUACGUUAAUACUUUUGUUGUAGUUGCGGAUACUUGCAAUAGAGGUUAAUCAUAAGUGGGAUGCCUGUUCAAGUAAGAACAGCACCCAAGCACCGGUCCACCCACAUAUCAAAUUAUCAAAGUACCGAACGCGAAUCAUAUGAACGUGAUGAAAACUAGCUUGACGAUAAUUCCCAUGUGUCCUCGGGAGCGCUUUUCUCUAUAUAAGAGUUUGUCCAGGCUUGUCCUUUGCUACAAAAAGGAUUGUGCCACAUUGCUGCACUUUAUCUACUUUUGUUACUUGUCGCUCGUUACAAAUUAUCCUAUCACAAAACUAUCUGUUACCUAUUAUUUCAGUGCUUGCAGAGAAUACCUUGCUGAAAACUGCAUAUCAUUUCCUUCUGCUCCUCGUUGGGUUCGACACUCUUACUUUUCGAAAGGACUACGAUAGAUCCCCUAUACUUGUGGGUAAUCAGGCUGAGGGACCCGAAAUCAAAGACAACCUCCGCGUCGUCAUCUGCGGGAGGAGGGGAAGCAGAUGGAGUCUGGACGCGCUUGGAUGAAGAAGAGGCAGAUGCUUUCUCCUCCGCCACCACGGCUUUCACCGAUUUCUUCGCAGCCGCGGCCCUCGUUUGGCGCACGGACGCCUCCUGAGCUUGCUGGGGCUGCACGACCCUGCCGGGCCGAACCGGCUCGCCAGAGGUGGCCCGCCGCGGGAAUCGCCCUCUCCCCGUGGCCGGAGGGUCGACAGCCUCGGCCUCCUCCUCCGACGACUCAUCGACCACAUCCUCGAUGAGGGGAGCCCCGGUGCCGGCGCUGCUGGCCUCCCCAGCAGACUCCGCCCACUCGGCAAGCUCCUUCUCCUCCGCGGCCGCCGCAGCCUUAUCCUCCACGCCGCCGGCACUGCCGGCCUCCUUGGCGAGCUCUGCCUCCACCGCCCUGGCGGCGAUGUAGUCCAGCUCCGCCUGGGUGGUGUCCUGGACGAGCCGCGGCUCAUCGUGGACGUACUUCUCCUCCAUGGAGUCAAAGAACUACCGCACUUGAUCCUCCGGCGGCUCCGCCCAAGUUGGGACGAGGCCGUGCGCGUUGAACUCCGGCAUCAUGGCAAUCAUGUCGUUUCGGCGUGAGUUGUUGCUCAGCGGGACCACUCCCACCGGCAACUUGAACAAGGGCCCCUUGUCGACCUUGCCGGCCUUCGCAGCCUUGCCGGACCGCUCGACCUUGCCGUCGCGGUUCACAUUAAGCUAGAAGAGCUGCUAGCAGAAGUGGGCGUGCCCCAUCACCGUGAAGUUGUGGUCCAAGCCGGGUCGGAGCCUCAUGAUGUCGGCGGCGUUUGUGAAGAGCCAGGCCGGCCUCCCCUUAUUGUGCAGCGGAGUGAUUAGGCGGCGGAUGAAAUCCGCCCCGAUCAUCUCGAGGGUGAGCCCGGCCUCGGUGAGACGGAGAAUCCUGGUGGUGGCGACCAUGAGCUUCUUGUCGUUGACAUCGACAUUGCUCCAGUCGUUUCUGCGGACUGGCAGCGCCUGGUGAACCUCGCAGAAUGCUGGUGGGUCCUUCUCCUCAAUCCAGCACCACCGGCCUCACCACUCCUCCCACCUCUCCUUCUGGGCGUCGUCGGGGUAUGUCUCUUUCUCCUGGGUCCUGGGGAUCCAGGCGACGCAACCGGAAAUGGCGCCCCCCUUUUGGAUGCGAGGGAAGAAAUAGUGGCGGAAGAGCGCCGUGUUGGGAUGCACCCCGGCAAAACCCUCGCAGAGGUGCACAAAAAGAGCUAUACACACCACGACAUUUGGAGUAAAAUCCAGAAGGUGGAAGCCAUAGGUGUGCAUGAUGUCACUGAAGAAAUCAGAGAAGGGGGGGCAGAGGCCGCAAGAAAAGUAGUCGACGAAGAACGGGUACCGAUUCGGGCCAGCUUCGGCGAAGGCGGCAGGGACGACGCGCGUGGCCGGAUGCCCCGUCGUCUCGCUUCCCGUCUUGCACCCCCACAGGUGCUUGAAGUAGUCCCGGAGCUCGACCGCAUCGACCGUCGACGAGAAGUAGGCGUGCUGCGUCCGCUGCACCGCCAACCCGCUCUCCACGGCUCCUUCUCCUCGGCGUCCUUGGCCACUCCCUUGCCUCUGCUGGUCUUGGGUGCCAUGGCGGCUGCAGGAAGCAAGGGACAGAAGACAGCGAAGACGCAGCGGCGGCGAGCGAAGGCAAGAGCUUGAGAAGGAGGACGAAGGGGAUGGCGGCUCCGAGAUUGGGGAAAGCAUGGAGGGUAAAUGAGCAGCGUGCCCGCGGUUAUUCCUUUUUGCGGGGAAGGCGCGGGCCGCCUCUUUUCCCAUUAACUGCGAUGUGACGCAUGCGUGCGGGAACCACCCCACGCAUGACCCCCACGUCUCGCACGACCCCCACAUCACACACGAACCUCCACGUCGCGCGUUCAACGCGGGUCGUGGGGAAGCGCAGUGGACGAAAAGUUCUGCAGUAAAAAUCCCACCCCAACUGCCCGCGCACCGUUUUGGGCCUAGCCCAACAAUGUCUCGCGCUUAUGUGUGGCCGAGGCCCAGGGGCUCCUGUCGGUGUACAAAAGUAGGGGCUCUCCUUUUGACCCCUUUACUUGUGCACGGGCAGUCAGAGCCGCGCGCGCCGCGGCCGCACAUAGCAGGGCAGAGGAGGGAAGCCGGAGAGAAACCAAAGCGCAAGAUGAACAAAGCAACGCCAAGACCAGAAGCAUAAAAGAGCAAGGGGGCGAGGUGGACUCCCCUGGCAAGACCCUUGCCGGGGCGGCCUCCGCGGCCCCGGCAAGGGCCUUGUCGGGGCAACUUGCCCAACACCAGCAGAGCGAGCCACCCUUGAGCCCAAGGGUUCCAAACGUCACCAACAGCUACAUUGGACCCAGGGCUCGGGAGGCACCUCUGUGGUGGCAUGCAGAUCUUUGUCAAGAUCAUAGAUACAUGAGAGCAGAUGAGGACCAGAAGACGACGAUGCUCCACGGGAUUCUAGCCGAGGAAACCCACUUGACCCUCGGCAAGAGUCUUGCCGGGGACAACCGUCGCGCCAAGGCAAGACCCUUGCCGGCCCCCCCGGCAAGACCCUUGCCGAGGGCAUAAGCAGGGCCAUAGCCAGGCCCGCACAAGCCAAGACUCCACCGCCGUUCCCAGGCAGCUGCUAGCUCAACCAGCUGGGCAGGCACCUGUGUGGCGGUAGGCGGCCUCUACACUGACUCAGCAAGCACCUGCGUGGUGGCAUGCAGAUCUUCGUGAAGGCUCCACCACCGCGCCACCUUAGCAGCCUGCCUGCCUACAUGGCACCGCAUGCUUCGCUGGCCCGGGCACGUGCCGAUGCGAGGCGGGGCGGCGACGGACGGGAUGGGCCUUGUUCUCGUCCCCGAUAAAGCUAAUGGACACCUAAGUAGCGCAUUUAAUGUGCUUUGUCUUGUAACGCCGGGCGAUAAGCUCGUGCACUGUAGACAUUUCCACCUCCUGUGUGCCAUGGUGGCAACCCCUUUUGCCUAUAAAAGGAGGCCCGAGGCGACUAGGAGAAGGAUUCGGCUCUUUUGGGCAAGUUACACCCCGUAGCUAGCUCAAGAACACAAGAACACUCAAUACAUCCACCAAAGCAGGACUAGGGUAUUACGCAUCUUCGCGACCCAAAACUGGGUAAACGAUCCGUGUGCCUCCUGUCAGACCUGCUCUUCUCACAACCCCGCGCCCGCCAACCGUAGAAGGGAUUCCAGUGAUCCCAUAGGUGUCGUUUUUCCCCGACAAAGCCCCAGACAUCAAAAUGUUUGAUAACAAGAACAUAGUUUAUUAGCAUUUCCUGUUGUGUACUAAUAUUACCAGUUAUUUGACGUUUAUCACAAGAGAGAAUAGAUUUAUGAGCAUUUUUAAAAAGAGUAGAACACUAAAAACCAUAUUGUAAGACCGUGUAUGCAUUUUUCUAUCUCCAGCCUAGUGCCUUACAUAAGGAUUAGAGUCACACUUCCUUAGUAUAUCUUCCUGCUCAUGUUCAGGUACAACGUCUAACAAUGUCAUAUACUCCUUUUCUAUAUAGAUGUGGAUCAUCCAGAAAAGUAAUGUCGCAAAUCAAGGAAAAAUUAUCUUUUGUUGAUAAGUAAACUUAGGUGGAAUGUACUUAGCAACAAUAAAAUUUGCAUAAUCAACAAACAGUAAAACAAAUCUAUGAAAAAGUGAAAAUUCCCAGGUUGCGACAAAGUGGCACACAUGAAGUGUACCACUUGUCAGCACCAGAGAACGUGGAAUUGACCUUGCAAGGGGUACCCCUUAAUUAGUGAUUUCACGCACCUAGUAGUGGCAUUUGAAUUUGCUUUUUGAGUGGAGCGGCUGAUAGGCGAGCGCGUUGCUCCUUUGGGCUGGCCUGUCGCCUCGAGUGGACUCGGUGCGUAUCUUCUGUUAAGUGUGAGUUGUGAUGACUAUGGCCUAACAGCAAAAGGAGAACUUGUUUUCUUCUGCUCUCACUUUCUCUCUCUUGUGAAACAACCUUCUUGUCUAUGCUAAAAAAGAAAGAAAAAACUUGAUGUAUUUAUUUAAUUGUUUCUUCAUUGUUGGAGUAUUUGAAAAUUAUAAAAUAAUAUUUUUAUUAACAUCAAUCCACUAUGGUCUUAUUGUAACACUAGAACACUGUUCAGGUAACGGGCCACCUCUUGUGUUGUGUGGGGCGGAGUUUACCAUGACAUCAUACUAAAUAUGAAUGAGUUUCCAAAAAAAUAAACUCAAGCAUGAGCAUGUGAGUUGGACUAUCCAUACAUAAUUACGUAGGCCUCCAUUAAUUUUUCACAAGUGUGCCUAAGAAUGUAGUGUUAUAACAGGUUUCCUUCUUUAUCGAAUAUAAUAGGAAAUAAUUGUUAAAAAUCACCAGAACGUAAUAAAAUGCCAAUUCUUUUCGCGGAAGAUUAAUAUACAAGUUAACCAGGUCUUACUAGUUUUUCAGAAUUCUUGGAGUUCUAGAAGUAUUCGAACGAAUCAGAUUGCUACAGACUGUUCUAUUCUGACAGAUUCUGUUUUCUUUGUGUUGUGUGCUUAUUUUGAUGGCUCUAUGGUUUUCUUUGAUGAGUUUUUGCCAUAGAAAAGUUGGAAUACAGUAGAUAUAAUGCAAAAACAAAAUAAGAAUUGGUUUGAUACAACACUUAUAGUAGUGAUUUAUUUUUCUUACACUAACGGAUCUCACGAAGGUUUUGUUGAGUUUUGUGUGAUUGAAGUUUUCUAGUUUUGGGUUAUCUUACGAUGGAUGAAGGAAGGAUAGAAGAGCCUAAGCUUGGGGAUGCCCCGGCAUCCCAAGCUAUUAUCCAAAAAUGAGCAACCAACUAAGCUUGGGGAUGCCCCCGAGUGACAUCCCCGCUUUCUUCCAACGACUAUUGGUAUUUUACUUGAAUCUAUAUUUUUAUUCGUCACAUGAUAUGUGUUUUGCUUGGAGCGUCUUGUAUGAUAUGAGUCUUUGCUUGUUUUAUUUUGUGUUUUUAGUCAUCAAUCCUUUCUGGACACACAUAUUUGGGAGAGCCAAAAUUAUGUCAUGACUUGUUAGAAUUGCUCUCUAUGCUUCACUUAAAUCUUUUAUGAGCUAUGGACUUGCUCUAGUGCUUCACUUAUAUCUUUUUGAGCACGGUGUGCUUAGUAUUUUUGAAGAAAUUCUCGCUUGCUUCACUUAGAUUUAUUUGAGAGUUAUUAAAAUUUUCAAGAAAUUCUCUCUUGCUUCACUUAAAUUAUUUUGAGAGAAAGAAAAAUUAUGCUCAUGAUCUUCACUUAUAUUUGUUUGAGCUCAUGAAAAGCAACACAUGAAAAUUAGUCCCAAAGUGAUAGAUAUCCGAGAAGGAUAUAAUAACAAGUUUCAUGAAGAUCAUUGGACAAAAUAAACUUGAUUCUUAAUUAGUAAUAGUUUUGAGAUAUGAUGACGUGAUAUGUGAGUUAUGUUGAUGAGUAAUUAUGCUUUAGUAAGAAUAUUGGUGUUAAUGUUUGUGAUUCCCUAUGCAAGUAUGAAAGUCAAUAGUCAUGCAAUGAAAUUACAUCCUACUUGUGGUGCAUUAUACGGUGUUAUUUAUGCUUAAUGCUUGCUUAUGAGAUUAUCCGUUUCUUGGUUGGUCGCUUCUCAAUCUUUUGCUAGCCUUCAUUUUGCACCAAGUAUGAUCUCUACUUGUGCAUCCAAAAUCCUUUAAACCAGUUUUGCCAUAUGAGUCCACUAUAUCUACCUAUAUGCGGUAUUCUUUUGCCGUUCUAAGAAAAUUUGCAUGUGCCAUAUCUAAUUAUCAAAAUAAACUUCUCUUUUGUGUGUUUGUUUCGCUCGCGGAGCGGUGAGGGGUGGCUAAUAUUUUCCAUGCUGGAUGUGUUAUUCUCACGAUGAGUGUUUAUUCACUUGUCAUUGCACGAGAGUAAGGCAAAGGUUUUAGGGAUGCCCAGUCCCGAAAUGCAAAAAUGAAUUUACUUUAUGUUGUCAAAUAAUAAAUUCCUCAGAAAGUGUUGGUAUGGAGGGCACCCGUGGAUACGGUUAGCCAUGGAAAGUGAAAGUAUGGUGGAAAAAUGAAUAAACUUUAUUUUCUGUUUGGAAACCACCUAUGGCAUAUCUAGCAUGGAAAGUGUUGGGAACUCUAAGUCAUUUUUGUUGGUGGGAUGGAUACACCUCCCAAAAUGUUUUUAUCUCUAAUUUUUCGCUUUGAGCUCUGGCACCUCUACAAAUCCAUGCUUUCCUCUGUGAAGGGCCUUUCUUUUACUUUAUGCAAUUUUUAUUUGAGUCUCCAUCUUCUCUCAUAAAAAGCACCAACUAGGAGGCAAUAUGAUCGUACUUAAGUGUUGGUUGUACCUAAUAUUCGAGUGUGUUUCAUGAAUGGAUCAAUGUUUGAGCAUGAUGGGUUAGGGAUAACUUAUUUUAGCGUUGAUAUUUUGAAAGACAUGGUUGCUUGUUGAUAUGCUUGAGUAUCUAAAUUAUUAUGUCAAAACUAGACUCUUGCUUUGAAUCACAUAAAAGUCCAAUUGUCCAUGCUAUAAAGAAAAGAAUAUGAUAUGACAUGAUAGGCACCAUUCCACAUCAAAACUUCUGUUUUUAUCACUUACCUACUCGAGGACGAGUAGGAGUUAAGCUUGUGGAUGCUCAUACGUCUCCAACAUAUCUAUAAUUUUUUAUUGUUCCAUGCUGUUAUAUUAUCAAUCUUGGAUGUUUUAUAAUCAUUUUAUAUCAUUUUUUGGUACUAACCUAUUGACAUAGUGCCAAGUGCCAGUUGCUAUUCUUUCAUGUUUUUUAAAUCACAGAAAAUCAAUAUCAGACGGAGUCCAAAUGCCACGAAACACCACAAUAAUUUUUUAUGGGCCAGAAGGAACACAUUGGGCCCUGACUGUGCCUGGGGAAGUCCCGAGGAGGGGACAACCCACCAGGGCGCGCCAGGAGGCCCUGACGCGCCCUGGUGUGUUGUGCCCACCUCGGGUGCCCCCCGGACCGCCUCUUUGCUCUAUAAAUACCCCAAUAUUCCAGAAACCCUAGGGGAGCUGACGAAAUAUUCAUCCAGCCGCCGCAGAGUCCAGAACCACCAGAUCCAAUCUAGACACCAUCUCGGAUGGGGUUCACCACCUCCAUUGGUGCCUCUCCGAUCUUGCGUGAGUACUUCUUUGUAGACCUUCGGGUUCGUAGUUAGUAGCUAGAUGGCUUUCUCUCUCUCGCUGAAUUGUCAAUACAGUGGUCUCUUGGAGAUCUAUAUGAUCUAACUCUUUUGCGAUGUGUUUGUUGGGAUCUGAUGAACUUCGAGUUUAUGAUCAGUUAUAUCUUUUUAUAUCCAUGAAAGUUAUUUGAGUUUCUUUGAUCUCUUAUAUGCAUGAUUACUUAUAGCCUCGUAUUUCUUCUCCGAUAUUUGGGUUUUGUUUGGCCAACUUGAUCUAUUUAUCUUGCAAUGGGAAGAGGUGCUUUGUGGUGGGUUCGAUCUUACGGUGCUUGAUUCCAGUGACAGAAAGGGAAACGACACGUAUGUAUCGUUGCUAAUAAGGAUAAAACGAUGGGGUCUAUAUCUAUAUAGAUAGAUCUUGUCUACAUCAUGUCAUCGUUCUUACUGCAUUACUCCGUUUUUCCAUGAACUUAAUACACUAGAUGCAUGCUGGAUAGCGAUCGAUGUGUGGAGUAAUAGUAGUAGAUGCAGGCAGGAGUCGGUCUACUAAUCUUGGACAUGAUGCCUAUAUAAUGACCACUGCCUGGAUAUCGUCAUGAUUAUUUGAAGUUCUAUCAAUUUCCCAACACUAAUUUGUUUACCCACCGUUUUCUAUUUUUCUCGAGAGAAGCCACUAGUGAAACCUACGGCCCCCGGGUCUUCUUUCUCAUAUAUUUGCCUUUGCGAUCUACUUUUCCUUUGCAUUUAUUUUUAGAUAUAUUAAACCAAAAAUACAAAAAUACCUCACUGCAUUUUAUUUCUAUUUAUUUUAUUUGGUGUUCGAUCUAUCAAUCUACUAUGAAUUUACCUCACGUCCUUUGCCUAUCUUGAGGCGUCGUAGCCCGGAAGGGAUUGACAACCCCUUUAACACGUCGGGUUGCGAGGAUUUGUUAUCUGUGUGCAGGGGCUGUUUACGUUGUGUUGCUUGGUUCUCCUACUGGUUCGAUAACCUUGGUUUUAUAUCUGAGGGAAAUACCUACCGUCGAUGUGCUGCAUCAUCCCUUCCUCUUUGGGGAAAUACUGACGUAGCUUCAAGCGACAUCAAAAGGAAUUUCUGGCGCCGUUGCCGAGGAAAAUCUUCAACAUAUACCAGGUUCCUAAUCACAAAUCACAUCUCCUUGCAAUUUACAUUAUUUUCCAUUUGCCUCUCGUUUUCCUCUCUCCCACUUCACAAAAAUUUGUCGUUUUAUUCGCCUUUCUUUUUCCAUUCGCUGUUUUCUUGCCAGAUCUGUUUUUGUGUGCAACCUUGUUUGCCAUUACUAUGGAUAGUUCUUCCUCUAUCGCUUGCACUCCCGAGAACGAGGUUCUUAAAUUUAAACAAAGGGGAGGAGAAAAUUUCAAAGAUGCUUGGUAUAGAAUUUGCAAUGCUCAUAAUAGAUCUAUCCGUAAGCAAUCUACUGUUGUUGUUCUUCGCUAUUUUUAUGUUGGCAUCACCACUUGGUAUAGAUUCGUCCUUGAUACGAUUACCGGUGGAAAUUUCUUGAUGUGUCCCUCUCUUGAUGCUUUUAAUGCUAUGGGAAAUUUAGUGGGAUCACCACCUCUUAUGAUUAAUGAAACAACUUUGACUCUUGAGCAUGUUAUGGAAAGACUAGAUGCUAUUUAGAAGAAAAUGCUCACCAAAGAUCAUAUGGAAAUUAUAGAUAAAAAGAUGCAUAAUUUUUCCACUAAUAUUGGGUCAAAAGCGGGAGAUAUUUUUAAGUUGUUAAAAGAGAAGGGUACCAUAAUCCAUGAAAGAAUAGAAAAAGUCUGUCUCGGAUUGAUAAAUUAGAAGAAAUGUUUAGUAAUCUAAGCACUGCUUUUGCUUCCGCUAAGACUAUCAAGAAAACUCCCAUAUAGAGUGGUAGAUCCAAGAACAAGGGUGCAACUUCUAGUAAUAGUAACAAAGGAGAUCUUAAGAUGUUUAGUAUUCACCCGGAUUUUGUUUAAGUGAUAAGAGAUCCUUUUUACAAGAAUGAAUUAUUUAAAUUUACUCCUAGGAGUAUUGCUAUUGAAAGUCUUUAUGUUAAAUCCCUGAAGGAUUCUAAGUGUUUGGUUGAAGAGUUGGAUAAAGAUGACAAAACUUAGAUCUGAGGGAAAUACCUCCCGCCGCUGUGCUGCAUCAUUCCUUCCUCUUUGGGGAAAUACCAACGUAGCUUCAAGCGACAUCACUUCCUUUUUAUAUGAUUUGAAUUAAAUAUAUAUAACUAAACAAAGAAGUAUGUAAAUAUUGCAUUCGUUUUGGAAAAUGCAUGAUAAUUUCCUACUAAAUAUAAGUUAUGUAUGGUAUAUAUAGAAUUAUGAGUCAUCAAUGAUUGCUUGACAUAUUGGGAGAGGCAAAUAAUCCACUCAACUUUCUAGCUAUAAGAACCACCAAAUAGAAACAUCUCAAACAACACCUCUACUAAAGAAACCACUAGCUAGCUUGCUCAAAGAUUAAGUAUAGCGCUAACAAAGGUUCCCUCUUCUUUGCCCUAAACCUUGUUCUCAUUGCCAUUGUGCAUGGUCACCCACCAAUUGUCCUUACACCGCCUUUGGUGCCUACCCCAUUUGUUGCACCAAGUCUGUCGAAUGGUCAUUCCUGCCCAAUCAACCCACUUAAGAUAAAUGUGUGCAGCAAUGUGUUGCUGCUACUCAAGCUCCGGAUCAACGUGCCGGAGACCGAGAAAUGUUGCCCAUUGCUUAGUGGGUUGGGUGAUCUUGAUGCCGCCGUCUGCGUCUGCACUGGUAUCAAGGCCAACAUCCUUGGAAUCAUCAACAUUGACAUUCCCGUCGACCUUACCCUCCUACUAAACCAUUGUAACAAGACAUAUCCCUCUAGUUUCACUUACUCGCAAUGAGCUAUGACCAACUAUACCUCCCAAAACAUACUCAUAAUCAUGUAUGUGAGGCAUACCUAUCUAUGCCAACUCAUUAAUAAAUUUUGUGUUUAAAUUAUAUUUGUUUAGUUUUCAAGUUAUGUUUGUGUGUGUG
rnacentral:lncRNA from 1 species